rnacentral:rRNA from 1 species
GAUGAACGCUGGCGGUAUGCCUAACACAUGCAAGUCGAGCGACCGGACGAGAAGCUCUUUCUCCUGCUGUUAGCGGCGGACGGGUGAGUAACACAUGGAUCACCUUCUUCUAUGACUGGGAUAAUUUCGAGAAACCGGUGACACUACUGCCUCAUACUUCGAACCGCAUGAUUCAAAAGUGCUACAGGCUCUUGCUGUUUCUUAUAGCCGAUUCCACGCUGCAUUAGCUAGUUGGUAAGGUAACGGCUUACCAAGGCGACGAUGCGUAGCCGAUCUGAGAGGGUGAUCAGCCACACUGGAACUGAGACACGGUCCAGACUCCUACGGGAGGCAGCAGUGGGGAAUAUUGCACAAUGGGCGAAAGCCUGACGGAGCAACACCGCGUGAGUGAAGAAGGUCUUCGGAUCGUAAAGCCCUGUUGUUGGGAAAGAAAAUAAGUAGAAGUAACUCUGGACGUCCUGACGGUACCCAAACAAAAAGCCACGGCUAACUUCGUG